GACCUCCCAAAGUGCUGGGAUUACAGGCGUGAGCCACCGCGCCUGGCCUAUUAUGAAUAUUCUUUACAUUCAUUCUGUUACUGGAAAGGGGUCCCAAUCCAGACCCCAAGAGAGUGUUCUCGGACUUCACACAAGAAAGAAUUUGGGGUGACUCCAGAGAGCAAAGCCAAAUCUCCAGAGAAUGCAUCACCAGCUAUCAUUGAGGCUUGACACCAUUGGGAGCAUCCAAGAGAGUCUUGGGAAUGGACUUUGACCUUCCUCUGAUGGGCACCGGCAGCAAGGACAAGGUCCCCAAGUAUCAUCAGAAAGCAAAGAAAACACCAAACGGAAAGGAAGAGUGUGGGGUGCACCCCCUUGGAGAAUGUGGCUGAGGCCAGAUGUGAGAGUUCACAGGAGACACCAGCAGAAACACAGACAUAACUUGUGACAUUUUUCAGUGUUCUAAGACAUGUCAGUUCAAGACUGGGCUUUCCCCAUUCAACCACUCUACUCACACUCAUGUGUGUUAUAGACAAAUUUAAACUGGAAUCUCUUUGAUUCCAGAAAGUUGAUUUACAUUGCAACAGAAAUGCUUGUUUAGCUGAAUAGGUCCCUAGGUAGUAAAGGGACUCCACACAGCAUUAUUUCUAGUGAAGUCUUUGAUUCACAGAAAGAUUCUUAGAAAUCUUGCAUCAGAGUGUAACAAUAAAAAAGAAACUGUUCGGAUUUUCAUGCAGGAAAUGCUCUUGGCCAGCAAUCACCCUCAGGAAAUUUUCAGAAAUGCACGUGAUGCCCAGAGAAGUGUUGUUUUGGGAAUACCUAGUAAUUAGUUCCAAAAUCUUACCAAACAGCAGCACAGGCCUAUAAUUUCUAUGUAAACUCAGCUCACUGUUUGAGUCAUACUAUGUUUCUUUUUUAGCUCAAGAUUUGUCAUCCACUACAAAAACCUCCUUUCGCUAUACAAAAUAGACAGCCACUCGAAAUUGCUGGAGGGAAAAGCCAGUUUGCACAAUGGGGGUGGCAUGUUUGGGUGAGAAAACCAGAGACUCGGAGUCAGGAAAUGCCAGUUCCUCCCUUCACUCCUGUGACCUAGAGCAAGCACCUUCACCCUUGAGAGUCUGGCCUUUCUUUCUUUCUUUUUUUCUUUUUUUUGAGAUGGAGUCUCACUCUGUCACCUAGGCUGGACUGCAGUGGCGCGAUCUCAGCUCGCUGCAACCUCCGUCCUCUGGGUUCAAGCGAUUCUCCUGCCUCAGCCUCCCGAGUAGCUGGGAUUACAGGCACCUGCCACCAUGCCAGGCUAAUUUUAAUAUUUUUAGUAGAGACGGGGUGUCACCAUCUUGGCCAGGCUGGUCUUGAAUUCCUGACCUCGUGAUCCACCCACCUUGGCCUCCCAAAGUGCUGGGAAUGUGUGAGCCACCACGCCUGGCCUGGCCUUCCUUUCUUGUAAAAUGAGAGGGUUAAGUCCAGGUUCGUAGUCAAUAACUACGUGUUCAGUAACAGAUUCGUACCAGGGAUUUCCACAAACUUUCCCCAACCCAAUCACCACCACUUCCUUUUAGGACUAAGAUUUUCAAGGUCUGCUUCAGUCUUCAUAGCUUUACAUGUCUGGGAACUUAUGUCUUAAAUUUUUUUGUAAGAAAAUUAUCCUGUGUGUAAUGGAAAUGGAAAUAUUUCUCUUGCUAACCUGAUUUCAACCUGCUGAAUAUAAAUAUUCACAUAACACAGCAUUUAUAAAAUAAAAAUCACUCAUAAGUAUAUCUUUCAGCAGUAACCACAGUUCAUAUUUUGGUGUGGCAGCAUCUAAACGUGUUUCUGUGGAGAUCCACACACAUUCAUUUAUCCUAGGGUAUUUUCAGAAGUCUUCCUAGUCUCCAUCUGCUUUUUUUUCUUGUUUGCCACAUGUUAUAUGGAUAUCUUUCCAUGUCAAUAUGAGAUCGUUUAAUGUCAAGAAAUACAGAUGAAGUCAUCAUUUUCAUGUUCAAUGGUUUGAGAACAUUCCAUCAUGUAGUUAAAUUAUAAUUUCUAUAACUCUUCCCUAUUGGUGGACAUUGAGGUUGGU
rnacentral:lncRNA from 1 species